rnacentral:rRNA from 1 species
UACGUAGGGGGCAAGCGUUGUCCGGAAUCAUUGGGCGUAAAGAGCGCGUAGGCGGUCCGGUAAGUCCGCUCUGAAAGUCCGGGGCUCAACCCCGGGAGGCGGGCGGAUACUGUCGGGCUAGGGUCCGGAAGAGGCGAGUGGAAUUCCUGGUGUAGCGGUGAAAUGCGCAGAUAUCAGGAGGAACACCAAUGGCGAAGGCAGCUCGCUGGGACGGUACUGACGCUGAGGAGCGAAAGUGUGGGGAGCGAACAAG